UACAGAGGUCCCGAGCGUUGUUCGGAUUCACUGGGCGUAAAGGGUGCGUAGGCGGUCGGAUAAGUUUGAUGUGAAAUCUCCGGGCUUAACCCGGAAACUGCAUUGAAUACUAUUCGGCUUGAGGUCUGGAGGGGGGACUGGAAUUCCUGGUGUAGCGGUGAAAUGCGCAGAUAUCAGGAGGAACACCGGUGGCGAAGGCGGGUCUCUGGGCCGAUACUGACGCUGAGGAGCGAAAGCGUGGGGAGCGAACAGG
rnacentral:rRNA from 1 species